CUACGGGACGCAGCAGUCGAGAAUCUUCCGCAAUGGACGAAAGUCUGACGGAGCGACGCCGCGUGCGGGAUGAAGGCCUUCGGGUUGUAAACCGCUGUCAGUGGGGAGGAAAUGCAUCAGGGUUCUCCCUGGUGUUUGACCGAUCCGCAGAGGAAGCGCAGGCUAAGUUCGUGCCAGCAGCCGCGGUAACACGAAAUGCUCGAACGUUAUUCGGGAUCACUGGGCUUAAAGAGUUCGUAGGCGGCCUUUCAAGUCGGGUGUGAAAUCCCUCGGCUCGACCGAGGAAUUGCGCCUGAUAAUGUUGGGCUUGAGGGGGAUAGGGGUGAGCGGAACUGAUGGUGGAGCGGUGAAAUGCGUUGAUAUCAUCAGGAACACCGGUGGCGAAGGCGGCUCACUGGAUCUCUUCUGACGCUGAGGAACGAAAGCUAGGGGAGCGAACGGGAUUAGAUACCCUCGUAGUC
rnacentral:rRNA from 1 species